GUGCACUGACAAACUCCCUGUUGGGCUGGCAUGUCUGGGACACUGAACCAUAGUGAUGGAGCUGAGGGCCUGCAG